rnacentral:rRNA from 1 species
UACAGAGGGUGCGAGCGUUAAUCGGAAUUACUGGGCGUAAAGCGCACGUAGGCGGCUUGGUAUGUCGGGUGUGAAAUCCCCGGGCUCAACCUGGGAACUGCAUCCGAAACUGCCUUGCUAGAGUAUGGGAGAGGGAAGUGGAAUUCCGUCGUAGCGGUGAAAUGCGUAGAUAUCGGAAGGAACAUCAGUGGCGAAGGCGACUUCCUGGACCAAUACUGACGCUCAGGUGCGAAAGCGUGGGGAGCAAACAGGG